CUGGUUGGUAAUCAGGUUUCGAGUGUAAGUGCACAAGGGAGCUUGACUGCGAGACCGGCAGGUCGAGCAGGGACGAAAGUCGGAACUAGUGACCCGGCGCUGGCUUGUGGAAGCGGCGUCGCUCAACGGAUAAAAGGUACCCCGGGGAUAACAGGCUGAUCUUGCCCAAGAGUCCAUAUCGACGGCAUGGUUUGGCACCUCGAUGUCGGCUCGUCGCAUCCUGGGGGUGGAGUCUCUCCCAAGGGUUGGGCUGUUCGCCCAUUAAAGCGGUACGCGAGCUGGGUUUAGAACGUCGUGAGACAGUUCGGUCCCUAUCCGCUGUGCGCGUAGGAAAUUUGAGAAGGGCUGUCCCUAGUACGAGAGGACCGGGAUGGACGAACCUCUGGUGUGUCAGUUGUUCUGCCAAGAGCACCGCUGAUUAGCUACGUUCGGAAGUGAUAACCGCUGAAAGCAUCUAAGCGGGAAGCACGCUUCAAGAUGAGAUUUCC
rnacentral:rRNA from 1 species